GCUACCAUGCAAGUCGAGCGCACUCUUCGGAGUGAGCGGCGGACGGGUUAGUAACGCGUGGGAAUAUACCCUUUACUACGGAAUAGCCUUUGGAAACGAAGAGUAAUACCGUAUACGCCCUUCGGGGGAAAGAUUUAUCGGUAAAGGAUUAGCCCGCGUCUGAUUAGAUAGUUGGUGGGGUAACGGCCUACCAAGUCUACGAUCAGUAGCUGGUUUGAGAGGAUGAUCAGCAACACUGGGACUGAGACACGGCCCAGACUCCUACGGGAGGCAACA
rnacentral:rRNA from 1 species